GACGAACGCUGGCGGCGUGCUUAACACAUGCAAGUCGAACGGAAAGGCCCUGCUUUUGUGGGGUGCUCGAGUGGCGAACGGGUGAGUAACACGUGAGUAACCUGCCCUUGACUUUGGGAUAACUUCAGGAAACUGGGGCUAAUACCGGAUAGGAGCUCCUGCUGCAUGGUGGGGGUUGGAAAGUUUCGGCGGUUGGGGAUGGACUCGCGGCUUAUCAGCUUGUUGGUGGGGUAGUGGCUUACCAAGGCUUUGACGGGUAGCCGGCCUGGGAGGGUGACCGGCCACAUUGGGACUGAGAUACGGCCCAGACUCCUACGGGAGGCAGCAGUGGGGAAUAUUGCACAAUGGGCGGAAGCCUGAUGCAGCAACGCCGCGUGCGGGAUGAAGGCCUUCGGGUGGUAAACCGCUUUCGCCUGUGACGAAGCGUGAGUGACGGUAAUGGGUAAAGAAGCACCGGCUAACUACGU
rnacentral:rRNA from 1 species